GGAGAUGUGGCUGAGAGGCUGAAAGCCUUGGUUUGCUAAACCAAUAUACGCUUUUUGUGUAUCAUGGGUUCGAAUCCCAUCAUCUCCA
rnacentral:tRNA from 1 species